AGUGGAAUUGCUGGGUCAUAUGGUAGUUCUUUGUUUGAUUUUUUGAGGAACUGCCAAACUGUUUUCCACAGCAGCUGCACCAUUUUACAUUCCCACCAGCAAU
rnacentral:pre_miRNA from 1 species